rnacentral:lncRNA from 1 species
AAAAAAAAAAAAUUGUUGAUUCUAUACAUGAAUGGGCAAAAAAAAGAUUAUUUUUACAAUCAAUUGAUGACAUAAUGUAUACCUCAAAGCCCCAAAUUGUGCAGCAGCAGCAGCAGCCGCUAUCACAAGACUACGAUGACAAAUUGCUAUUUUGUCAGCCAGUAAAUCAGAAUUAAAAAAGUGCAAACCGAGGCGACUAGAGAAAGAAUGAUGGUGUCCAUAGACUUCUUUUUGUUUAUUGCCGAGAUAAUGCUAUUCACCUUUGGAAGGCGGCUGCUAACGUUGCUAAGUUUCGAAUUAACGCCUCUAAACGUCGAGCGUUGAAAUACAAGCGAGCCAAGGGUCUCUUGCGCUUGUGAUAUC